AGCGCGGGGAGGCAGGGAAGAGCCAGUGUAGAGGAGAGUCCUCUGAGCAAAGCACCAGGGAGAAACUGGUCAGUGUGGAAGACAUUUUAUUGGAGGAGCCCUCCAAGGUUACUCAGGAAGAACAUCUCUCAGCGACACAUCUUCCCUUAUAAGCCAGGGCUUGAAGAUUACUGCAUUGUAGAUGUUCCCCAGAGCCUCAGGCAUCCAUAGGCUGGGC